CCUUACCUGGGUUUGAACUGCAGUGGAAGACGCCAGAGAUGGCGUCGCCCCUUCGGGGGCCGCUGUGGAGGUGCUGCAUGGCUGUCGUCAGCUCGUGUCGUGAGAUGUUGGGUUAAGUCCCGCAACGAGCGCAACCCUUGCUCAUAGUUGCCAGCGGUUCGGCCGGGCACUCUAUGGGGACUGCCGGUGAUAAACCGGAGGAAGGUGGGGAUGACGUCAAGUCCUCAUGGCCCUUAUGUCCAGGGCUACACACGUGCUACAAUGGCCGGUACAAAGGGGCGCAAGACCGCGAGGUGGAGCAAAUCCCAAAAAACCGGUCUCAGUUCGGAUUGGAGUCUGCAACUCGACUCCAUGAAGUUGGAAUCGCUAGUAAUCCGCGUACUCACGCAUGAACGUACGGUAGUAUACGUUCCGGCCUU
rnacentral:rRNA from 1 species